GAUGAACGCUGGCGGCGUGCCUAAUACAUGCAAGUCGAGCGAACAGACGAGGAGCUUGCUCCUCUGACGUUAGCGGCGGACGGGUGAGUAACACGUGGAUAACCUACCUAUAAGACUGGGAUAACUUCGGGAAACCGGAGCUAAUACCGGAUAAUAUAUUGAACCGCAUGGUUCAAUAGUGAAAGACGGUUUUGCUGUCACUUAUAGAUGGAUCCGCGCCGCAUUAGCUAGUUGGUAAGGUAACGGCUUACCAAGGCAACGAUGCGUAGCCGACCUGAGAGGGGGAUCGGCCACACUGGAACUGAGACACGGUCAAGACUCCUACGGGAGGCAGCAGUAGGGAAUCUUCCGCAAUGGGCGAAAGCUUGACGGAGCAACGCCGCGUGAGUGAUGAAGGUCUUCGGAUCGUAAAACUCUGUUAUUAGGGAAGAACAAAUGUGUAAGUAACUAUGCACGUCUUGACGGUACCUAAUCAGAAAGCCACGGCUAACUACGUG
rnacentral:rRNA from 1 species